CACGUAGGGGCCAAGCGUUGUCCGGAUUUAUUGGGCGUAAAGAGCUCGUAGGCGGUUCGACAAGUCGGGUGUGAAAACUCCGGGCUCAACCCGGAGACGCCACCCGAUACUGUCGUGACUGGAGUCCGGUAGGGGAGUGGGGAAUUCCUGGUGUAGCGGUGAAAUGCGCAGAUAUCAGGAGGAACACCGGUGGCGAAGGCGCCACUCUGGGCCGGUACUGACGCUGAGGAGCGAAAGCUAGGGGAGCGAACAGG
rnacentral:rRNA from 1 species